rnacentral:tRNA from 1 species
ACAGUGAUGGUUCAGUGGUAGAAAUCUCAUCUUCCACGUGGGAGACCUGGGUUCAAAUCCCAGCCAAUAUA